GUCCAGCAGGGCUUCAAAGGAGACUGUAAGAAACAGAGAGCAAAAACAGCUUCAUGUUGAUUUCUUGAUGAGAAUCUCCUUGGAAGCUGAGGAAACUGGAACAUCUUGGACUUGGCAUAUGACACCAAGAAUCUGCAAACUUUAGAGGCUCUGUUCAGAGAACUUUUCAGGGGGACUGUAGCCUGGCAGGAUCUCUCUGUACCCCUGCAGCCCCUGCCCCAGUGCUGUGACCAUGCUACAGUGGGAGCACAGACCUCUCUGGUGCCAAGGAUCUCUUAGCACCAUGCUCACACUUCGAGCUGGUGUGGCAUGCCCCAUCCUUUUUGUCUGAGAGCUGCAGCUGCUACUGGACUUGGACUCAGAUGGCAGGAGCAAGCAGGUACUCAUGGGAAAUGACACACUGUGCAUGACGGGAAUCGCGGAUCGCAGCAGACGCUGCCAAGGGAAGAGGCUGCUCCUCGCCCUGCUGUCCCCAGCACAGGGAGGCCAUGGCACUACACCUGGGACUCACCUCCACGUGGCAGCUCUCCCCUGUAAGAAUGGAUGUAAAAGUUUGCAGGAGACCUGGCGAAUUCAGGGUAUCACAGCUGGGCUAGAUGGGCCUGUCGGGGGAUGGCUCUGCUUCUCACCAGGUGAGAAGGGAGGGGAGGAUGUGCUGCAUGUGGGUAGUGAGUGUUGAGGAAGAUGAGUCCUGAGUAUCAGCAACUUCUAACCACCAUGGUCAGUGAUACUUCUAAUCAGAGCAACAAUUAAAAAUUUUGCUGCUGACACUGAAUGCUCAUGAUUGCUUUGCCUCAGAGCAGAUGCAGGUGGGAAACGAGAGGGAAGAAUAAUAUAAUAAUAAAGUGAGCAGGACAGCUACAUCCUAAAAUGAGUAUGCAUUUGGCAGCAGUGUUCAUCUAGGCAUUUUCUGUGCUGUAGUCUUGGAGGGAUUCCCUUUUCAUGCCUGGGAAAUGCAGGCACUUCCCUCCUGGAGUGGAUGACCUUCUAAUACUGCCUGGCUGUGCUGUGGGAGUUGUGCCUCCCUGUAUUUGUAAUGUACCUAUGGGUGGUGGAAAGCAGCUAUUUUUUUUAGGAGGACAGACAAUACUAUAUGUAUAAAUGAAUUAAAAGAGUAUUUUAA